rnacentral:rRNA from 1 species
GACGAACUGUGCGAACGUUAUUCGGAAUUACUGGGCGUAAAGCGCGUGUAGGCGGUUGUUCAAGUCAGGUGUGAAAGCCUUGAGCUCAACUCAAGAAAUGCACUUGAUACUGGAUGACUAGAGGACCGGAGAGGAUAGUGGAAUUCCCAGUGUAGUGGUGAAAUACGUAGAGAUUGGGAAGAACACCAGUGGCGAAGGCGGCUAUCUGGACGGUUUCUGACGCUAAGACGCGAAAGCGUGGGGAGCAAACAGG